AUUGGGUACCAGGUGAAAACUGAAAAGGUACCAAAAGCACCUCUCCGUAAGACAUGCCCACCAGUGCCAGGACAGUUUACCAUUGCCAUGGCAAU